rnacentral:rRNA from 1 species
GACGAACGCUGGCGGCGUGCUUAACACAUGCAAGUCGAACGGAAAGGCCCCUUUGGGGGUACUCGAGUGGCGAACGGGUGAGUAACACGUGAGUAACCUGCCCUUGACUUCGGGAUAACUUCAGGAAACUGGGGCUAAUACCGGCUAGGAAUCCGUGCUGCAUGGUGGGGGUUGGUAGGCUUCGGCGGUUUUGGAUGGACUCGCGGCUUAUCAGCUUGUUGGUGGGGUAGUGGCUUACCAAGGCUUUGACGGGUAGCCGGCCUGAGAGGGCGACCGGCCACAUUGGGACUGAGAUACGGCCCAGACUCCUACGGGAGGCAGCAGUGGGGAAUAUUGCACAAUGGGCGGAAGCCUGAUGCAGCAACGCCGCGUGCGGGAUGACGGCCUUCGGGUUGUAAACCGCUUUCAACAGGGACGAAGCUUUUGUGACGGUACCUGCAGAAGAAGCACCGGCUAACUACGUG